CACAACGGUCUUGGUCUGGAUGCUGGGGUGGGUUCGGGCGAUGCUUUCGGAGACGGAUUGUAAGUUGGCGGCGUCGAGGUCAAGGAGGACGAGGCUGAUGCCCCGGCUCGCGAGCUCCAUGGCCGUGGCUUUCCCGAGCCCCGUGGUUGGGCCGGUGAUCACCGCCCAUGUGCCGUAGCGGCGGCGGAGGUCGAUGGGUCGGCGGAGGCAGAGGGCGAGGUGAGCGAGGAGGGGGAUGCAGGCGGCCGAUAAGUACAGCGCGCCGAGAGCGGCCAGGGAGAUGAACCAGACCGGAACUGCCGCAGGCAUGUUGCAGCUAGCUAGGUCCGGAAUCCUGAGUUGAUUUGUUGCUGUACUGUGUGUACGUUUGCACUGCUUGUUCCUGGCUAUAUAUACAUGCAGAAAUAUAGGCCGGGCCAGCCCGUUGAGGCCAGAAUUGAAAAGUAGCGUGUAUUGGUAGGGCAUCUGAGGACCCUUAAAACUCGCUUCCCCCGUAAAAUUCCGGCGGGAUAGGGGGUGAGCGCAGUUUGAGCCGUCUAGCAGGCCUCGUAGUCGGGCCGGCCCGUAUUGGCGCAAUACGGGGUCCAGCAAAACCACACCGCCGCCCCCUACAAAUACAGGGCGAAGGUGCGAGUGGGGGUCAAACCCCUCACUCGCAACCCUAGCUCCGCCGUGCACCGCCGCCUCCCCGCUAUGCUUCGGCGAGCAAUUCGCACGCUCACGCCGCCGCAUUACCCCCGCCGCUCGCCAUGUCCGCGCGCCGCAGCAAUUCCGCGUCGCUCGCGAGCGGAUCGAAGCGAUCCCGCUCGCCGGACACGCUCGAGGAGGCGUGGCGGCACCAGUGCAAGCUAUCCGCCGCCGGGAGUUAAUUCAAGGAGUGCCCCCACUCACUUGAUUUUUCCCCACUCAUAUAUUUUGAACUGAAAUUUCUUCAGAUUUUGCAAGUUAAUACAAGGAGUGCCCCCACUCACUUGAUUUUUCCCCACUCAUAUAUUUUGUUGGGUCCACCAUUGGAAGAAGUGUUAGCUGCGUAGAAGCUGUGACCACCGUACAUCGCGGCCUUGCAAGCCUCCAACCAUUGCUCUGUGCUCAAAGGCUGCGCAAAUAAAUCACGAGUAAGCAUCGGUGUAGUCCGAUUGAAGAUUAGCUCAACAAGAGCACCGGAGUCAUCUCGAGGUUCACCAAGAGGUAGGAGAUGAACCCCUCCAGGCGCAAGUGAG